GAGAGGAGCGCCGUUCUGCCUGACGAGGGACUUAUUCUAUCAUCAGGACGAUAUCAAGCCGUAGAAGACAUGUCUCAGGGAGCGCCCGUCCAUCAGGCUCCAGGGAAUUGGAGGAAAUUCUUUGUGAUGGUAGAAGGACAAACAAACGGAGUCCAUCAGUCCUUUGUGGAUAAGCUCACAGCUGGGGGCCAGAUCCAGGUGGACUCUCCUGAACAAAGUGACUACGUGGUGGUUUUCUGUCCCGUCGCUUCGGGAGUUGCGGUAGACGUCCGUGAUGCCCUGGAGAACGCGCCUGAGGAUAAACCAAUAAUCCUGGUGGUCAUGCAUCACACCUUCAACCGUCGCCAGGUUGUAGCUGAAAGCAGGACAGUGGUGGACAGCCCCAGUGUCCAGCUGACUGUGGACUGUCUGUUUUAUGAGACGAGACUCCUGUACUGUAACCAAAAUGACAUCGCCUGGCAUGACAUCAGGAGGUUCCUGGGAAUUUCCCCCGCCAUGCAGAGUGCUUUCUGGCAAAACAUCUGGGACUGGUCCGUUACCAGUUGGAAAGUUAUGUGUCUUGCUGUUCUUGUGUUCAGCGUCAUGGUGGUCAUCAUGGUGGCUGCCACAGCAGGUGUGCACCCAUACAACCAAAACCACAGCCUGGCAAUGUACAAUUACAGCAGUGGUCCUCAAGUGGUCCGGCUUCGGGACCCACUGCCAGCCAGUAAUGACAAGAUGCGACCCAAAUCAAAGAACACGUCGCACAUUUAAACACAUUUAAAACGACCAACAAGCGGCGCUGCCAGAAAGUGAGCUGUCCCCCUUUUACACUCAAUUAUUUGAUUUUAAUUCAAAUCUAAACUGUCUUCACUCACUGAAUGUAUAACAGUGUCCUAUUAAAACUAUUCAGUCACUUAUUCAAGCAUCAUAAUCAUAAAGCUGCCAAACUACUGGGACAAAUAUUUAAAGAAAUCAUAAAAUCAUAAAAAAGUGAUGAUGAGAAUCAGCACCUACUGGAUCUGUGACAACCAACAGGAAGGACUCAGGUAUACACACUGAACCUCACUUCUGAAGGUGUAACAAUAAGCUCACAGACCUGAGUCUGGAGGAAUUAAUGGGAGAAAUGUGCAUGUGGUCUUCUUCUUCUAUGGUGUGGCAUGCAGGCAGUCUGUAUGAUGACAUUUAUGAACGCUCUGCUAUGAUACAGUCUUUAUUGUUUCUCUGUUACAGGUAUUUAUCUAUAUAUAAAACACUUUGUCAGUGUUAAUGGUGUCAACAUGUGCAUGUUUAAAUGUGUGUUGAGAGUGUGUAGCAUUAGCUCAGCCAUGCUAUGUGACUGUGUUCUGUGGACACACACAAGUCUGACAAGAGUGAAGGACAAGAAGAUGUUGGAGGAGUGGAGUCAAGAGUUUGAACUGAAAUAAAAAUAACACCUUUUCUGAUGUAGC
rnacentral:lncRNA from 1 species